rnacentral:lncRNA from 1 species
AAAUUUAAAAUGUAGCACAUCCAUGUAUAGCUCAGUGGUAAGUGCAUAUACGAUCUAAUAAUGGAUACAUGUUUGAAUUCCCCAUACUAAAAAAAAUUCAAAAUGUAAUAAGUUAAGUUAUUUCUCAUUUUUAAGAAAAAUUGUUAUUUUUGUUCAAAGUGUGAUACGUUCAAUGAAGCUAAAUGUAAAGAGUUGAUGGUAGGAGGUACAUUCACCAUCCAAACCAUAUUAAAAUCUUGCAAAUCAAGAGCAAGCUUAGCUAAGCUAUGGGCAACUGAGUUGCCUUCUCUAUAAAAAUGGAAAUGGACACCUCUUGGAGUUGUUGAAGACUCUCUUGAAGGAUAAAAACACGCGUGCUAAGGUCUGAUAGAGGAGGAAGCUUACCAGGCUACAAAAGCGAAACUACAACCUGGCGAGUCCAGCUCCAAGUGAACCUUCAGAAAACCAUGCUGGAGUGCACAAUGAAUAGCCAUGGAUGCAGCUUCAAUCUCUGCUUCAGCAACAGACAUGGAGGACUUGACAAGCUGUUGAGCUAAAUCAAGGAUCGAACCAGCAGAAUCCCGAAUAAUCAUACCCAGAUGGGAUUCAUCAGACACUACAAGAGCCGCAUCAGGUGUUGAUUUUGACGUAGCCUUGAGGAGGAGGAUGAUAGAAAACUAAACUUGUCUACAACUAAUUAAAAGUCAUGGACGGUGAAUGCAUGGUCAAAGAUGGUUCCUAAGUGAGUAAAGUCUUGGUUGGUGAAAGCAUAAUCAAUGGACG